rnacentral:lncRNA from 1 species
AAAAUUUAAAAUUCUUCCUCCUGGAUUUUAAAUUUGCAAAAUCUCUAAUCACAUCUUUUAUUUUUAUAUUUUUGGCUACUGCCACACUGUUUUGAUUUAAUGAAUGUUUCACUCUUCAUGAUGCAUUUAAUUUUUAUUGUAGUAUGUUGUUAAUUUAAAAAGAGAGUAAAGAAAGUACAGAUAAAGAGGAUUUGAGCCCCCCUGUUGUGGAGUCUGGUGCAUUGUAGUUCUCUUACUGCUUGAGGUUAUGUAUAGUACAGUAUAGUUGAAUAUUAAAAAGUCAUUUGUUUGAUGAGGUGUAUUGUUCAGAUGCUUAACCCAAACUUGAGUUAAUUGGAUAGGCUCUCAAAGUUAACAGUCUGCCCCUAUGUAUACAAUUAUAUAAAUUGUUAUAUGAUCAUUUUCCUGAUGAUAAAGCAUGCUACAUGCCUUAAGAGGAACAUAUGCUACAUGUCUUAGAGUAAUAAGUAUAAUAAUCUGCCGUCAUUCAUAUUUUUCCAACAAUGAAAAAUUUUACAAAGAAGUAUUAAUGAGCACACUCCAUGGCUGGGAUCUUAACAAAAUUUGUAGUAAGGCAGUUAUAUAUAAAUUUAUUACACAUGUAAAAGAUAUGUUAAUAACAUCUUUACUAUAUGAGAAGAUAAAGCUGACAUAGAUAAAUUUAGUCAUCAAUAAAUUUAGAACUAGUCCAACACUAGUCAGGAACAGGCAGUGCUGGGCACACUUUGUUAGUAUAUUUAUUAAAAUACUAUAUUAUUAUUAUUAUAGUCAAAUAAUAAUAUAAUACAAUCGUAAAAUGUUAAUUUUAUCAUUUACAAAUUUUUUAGUAAU